UUUAUAUGUUACUUCUUCCCUGCACUGGAAAAUGGAAAAUGUACCUUUAACAGAGUUAUGUGAUUUGGCUAAUUGAAUUAUGCUUUGGUUAAUCUUAGGUACAUACGUUUCCGUAUACUCCCCUUGUAUGGUGUAAAAUGGAUAUGCCUAGGAAAUAUCUUAUGACUUUUUUGAGAGGAUUGGUAAAGGUCAUCUAUGAUUG
rnacentral:lncRNA from 1 species